UACGUAGGUGGCAAGCGUUGUCCGGAUUUACUGGGCGUAAAGAGCGCGCAGGCGGUCGUUCAAGUCGAGUGUGAAAGCCCCCGGCUCAACUGGGGAGGGUCACUCGAUACUGAUCGACUCGAAGGCAGAAGAGGGAAGCGGAAUUCCCGGUGUAGUGGUGAAAUGCGCAGAUAUCAGGAGGAACACCGGUGGCGAAGGCGGUUCUCUGGGCCUUACCUGACGCUGAGGAGCGAAAGCGUGGGGAGCAAACAGG
rnacentral:rRNA from 1 species